rnacentral:rRNA from 1 species
UACGUAGGGUCCGAGCGUUGUUCGGAAUCACUGGGCGUAAAGGGCGCGUAGGCGGCCUGAUAAGUAGGGGGUGAAAUCCUGCGGCUUAACCGCAGGGCUGCCUUCUAAACUGUCAGGCUAGAGCACAGCAGAGGCAGGUGGAAUUCCCGGUGUAGCGGUGGAAUGCGUAGAGAUCGGGAAGAACAUCAGUGGCGAAGGCGGCCUGCUGGGCUGUUGCUGACGCUGAGGCGCGACAGCGUGGGGAGCAAACAGG